rnacentral:rRNA from 1 species
UACGUAGGGUGCGAGCGUUGUCCGGAAUUAUUGGGCGUAAAGAGCUCGUAGGCGGUUUGUUGCGUCGGCUGUGAAAUCCCGAGGCUCCAACCUCGGGUCUGCAGUCGAUACGAGCAAACUAGAGUGGUUGCAGGGGAGACUGGAAGUUCCUGGUGAUAGCGGUGAAAUGCGCAGAUAUCAGGAGGAACACCGGUGGCGAAGGCGGGUCUCUGGGCCGAUACUGACGCUGGGAGGCGACGGAAAGCCUAGGGGAGCAAACGGG